GAAAGCCGUGUGAUAUGACUCUUAUUUGACAAAAUUUCAACAGAGCUCGAGCCGCAUAAUGAGACAACGAAACAAAGUGCCGUCGUGCCGUCAAACAUAAACGCAUCUUCCAAAUGGGACAACGCAAAUGAAUCUUAAACUUGUAGAUUUAACGGUGCUUUUGACAGUCACGGCCAUAUUAACUUGCAUAAUGUGAAAAUAACCGGCGAAAAUAAAUAAUGGUCUUCACUUUGUAUUCAUGAAACUCAAGAAUGCUAACCUUGGUAAAGAAGAUAAACAUGACAAAUAAAUUGUGUGGAGCAAAUGAUCUGUUUUACAAAAGCAAUGCUAAAGAAACACUCAGACUUUCGAACAUCGUGUCUGGCAAAUCCAUGCUGUUCAAGAUAUUCAAGUGGACGUGAAGUGUAAGAUGGUCAGAGCAAUUUGUGUAAAGUAUCUCCGGAACCUGAGACAAUGGCUGUCGACACUUCGCCGACAAAGGGUCGGCCACGGGGCUAUUAGUCAGACGCACAAGUGACAUGGACAAGCAUACAGAUGAGACACAGGAUAUUCGAGUCAAGACAUCGGUCAAGCGACAUAGAGACAGACACGUCGUAAAUGCAAAGAAUAAGUAGAAUGUCAUAAAACCAUUUACAAUGCAUGAUUUGUUUUCAUCACAUUUAUUUAAUCGAUCUUAUAGUAUCUUAUUAAUUGUGAUAUAGUGAUUGCGUAUAACGGUAUGAGAAUUAUGACACCGCUGAGGUGAAUAUAGGUUAUAUGAAUUUUAAUAGAUAUGUUGCUUCGAUUGCGGUAUACAUCGUGUGCAAUUUUUAUUAUUACAAAAAUGUAUUACCAGUAUUAGUAGAUAUUCUUGCAUCUCUUUAAAAAUGCCAAUGACAUUAUUAUGUGUUACUAGUUUCAUUGUAUUUUAUGGAACCUAAAACAAUAGGUUUUAAAUUUUAACAUCGCUCAGUUAUGGGUGUGUUUAUCUGUGUGUUUAUGCAAAUUAAUAUUUUUGCAUAAAUAUAAAUGCACAUCUUUAACAAUAAAUUUUAAUUUCAAUGUGAAGUUUUGGGAACGUUUCAUACCUACUUGUUUGAUCGAAUUGUUUGUAAAUAAUCAAUGAUAACAUUCAUUAUUAUUAUUUGGAACGUCAACUACUUGUUAAAUUAUUUACAUUAACAUGGAACAAUGCAGCAGAAUCUAUUCUAAUUUCAUUCUGAUUAUCAUUAGGAAUAUUAUUUUUUUCAUUCAAACCAAUACAUGCAAUAUCAAUAAGACGUUUUUAUAAUAUUGUCUUUUACAUUAAAUUAUACCUAAGU